CUUGCUUCUCUUGAGAGCGGCGGACGGGUGCAGUAAUGCCUAGGAAUCUGCCUGGUAGUGGGGGAUAACGUUCGGAAACGGACGCUAAUACCGCAUACGUCCUACGGGAGAAAGCAGGGGACCUUCGGGCCUUGCGCUAUCAGAUGAGCCUAGGUCGGAUUAGCUAGUUGGUGGGGUAAUGGCUCACCAAGGCGACGAUCCGUAACUGGUCUGAGAGGGUGAUCAGUCACACUGGAACUGAGACACGGUCCAGACUCCUACGGGAGGCAGCAGUGGGGAAUAUUGGACAAUGGGCGAAAGCCUGAUCCCCCAUGCCGCG
rnacentral:rRNA from 1 species